GCCUCUCGUCGCCACGUCACUAGCGCGAGGCCUGCGGGGCGGGCUGCUGGGCGCAUGCGCUGUAGAGGGCUCGCCGGCGCUUCAGAGCGUACGUCCUCUUUCUUCCGUCGGGUUCCGAGGCAGCUGGAAAGACGGCUCUGAAGGCGGACUGAGCAGGAUACCAUCGCACUCUGGGCUGGCAGAGGGCUGGGGCGGGAGGCGGCGCUGGCGGAGAUAGUAGAGCCCUGCCAAAGUCGCGGGGCUGGCGGCGCCCGCCUGGUAGCACAGUGGACGGAGGCCCGGAGGAGCGGUGGCCGUGCCUCAUUUGUGCUCCGGAGGCCAUCGACUCCCUGGGCACAGUUGCAGGCUGUCCCCACGAGGAAGCAGGUGUAGGGAAAGUGACGGGCUUGGAGCUGUGGCACUGAUGGGUGUAAAAGCAAAUCGGAUUUGGCCCUGUCGUCUACCUCCAACCUCCAGCCUGCCGUAAGAGACGUUUAAUGCAACCAAAAUCCGUGGAGUCAAAUUUCGCCAAGUCAUUGACUUGUGUUUUUAUUGUCUUUCCUUCCACUCAUGUUCGUGUUUGAGGUAUUCUGUUUGCCGGUUUUUUUGGUAUUUUUUUGUUUUAGACGAAGUCUCUGUAGUACAAGCUGGCCUGGAACUCGAGAUCCUCCUGCCUCAGCCAGGGAGCCGGUGCUAGAAUUACAGGGUCUCAUGGUGCAGUUCAGUCUGAUCUUGAACUAUGCAACCCAGGCUGAUCUCAAACUCAUAGCAAUCCUGCCUCAGUCUCCCAAAUGCUGGGAUUACUUAAGGAUGCACCAGAUGUGAUGGGGAGUGGAAUACAGUGAUUGUUUUCAAGCAGAGCCACCAGGCAUGUGUUCCUCCCCGUUCCAAGGCAAAUAAUCUAAACUUCCAAGAACAGAAAAAUGCUUUCCUUUCCUUGAGGAAUCCCAUCCUUGAGCUGCAAGGAUGGACUUCAGAAAGAAGGAACACAAAGGAUAGGACAAAUUAGUGAAGUGAGCCAGGGAGAUUUUUUUCCUUUUUUUUUUUUUUUUAGUUCUUCCAAGUGCAAACUAGAACAAGACAUGUAGGAGUCCCUCCUGAAGGAGGGACUUGGGACCAAAUCACCUCCCCGGAGAGGCUGACAGCCAGUGUUCAUUUCGUAACACUCCCCAGGCAGUGUGCGCAUAGCUCAGAAGCCUGAGCACUCGUGGCCUCCCAAACAACAGAUGCAGCCUUCCUCUUCACAGGCCCUCAGUUGUUACUGUGUUUGUUGGCCACAAAAGAGCAGCCACUAUGCAUGUUCAUGUGUGUGUGCUUAUGUGUUCAUAUGUGUCUGUGUGUGUGCCGCAGGAAAGGCCAGGAUAAGAAGUAAAAGUGAAUCAGAUAUGCUUUGGGGGCUGGAUGUACUUGAUAGCAGGAUUAGUCAUGGCCCACUGUAGGAUUACAGGGACCUCAGUCAUCUAUUAAUUCUUGUCCAAGUGAUUUCUCUGUAGAAUAACUUUAAGGCCAAUUGUACCUUGUUUUGAAGACAUAUCACAUAGAUUCAGUUUUUCCCAGCAGCUCUUCCCACUUGUGACCCUCCUUGGCACUUUGAGAUGUGCUUGUUCCCCACAGGCAAAGAGUCCAUCCCUCUAUUGCAGCAAGUAGCCCACAGCUCUGACCACAAAGGACACAGAAAGUAUGACAUAGAGAGCAAAGGUAUGCACCACAGGCCGCAUAACUACUGCUGGCCAGGCCACGUUCCUCAUUCUGGCCAUCAACCUCCACCUGCUAGCCUGGCUUCUGGCCAGCAGGGCAUAAUGACUUAUUUUUCUAUUGCUCUGUCACCCUGUCCUCUCCUUAAAACCAAAGUUACUUUGUGUGAAAGCCCAAGGGGAAAAGGAUUGGGGAAGUAAAGAGGAAACAAGAUUGGUCAUGAGUUAGUGAUUGUUGAGCCUGUGUAAUAGAUCCUUGGGGACUGAUUAUACUUGUACUAUUCUCUCUACAUAUCUAUUAGAAAUUUUCUGUAGUAAAUUUUUUUAAUUAGCUCAUAAACACAGACAAAUGUACAGUUGUUUGUUUUUAUUCAUAGCAGUUAAGUUCUAUAAAGUCACCUCAAACACUCAGUUAUUAUGGAAUGAUUGCUCCUGGGCAAAACACAUAUUCACAAUAUUUUCAUCAUCAGAUCAAUAAUGUAAACUUAUUUAUUAGCAUUUCUGCUUAAAGACACUUUAUUUAAUAUAAAUUGUUGAUUCAUUAACACUGAACUCAUGCCCAGCUGCACUGCAACCGCAGCCUGAAUAAGGCUCACCUAAUGCACUCUCUCUGGGGUACGCAGCACAACCUCUUGCCUAGACUCGGCAGACUUUUUGCACUGUGCGUGGGAGCCAUUUUUAACAAUUAAAUCACCAAGAGAAAGUAUAAGGGUGGAAAAACAUGGUAGUAAAUAGGUCACAAAAAGGAAAUUCAUACUGGGCAUAGCGAUUUGUGACUGUAGUCCCAGCACUCUCGGAAGCUGAGCCAAAAGGAUCACAAGUUCAAGCCCAGCCUGGUCCAUUUAGCAAGGCCUUAUCUCAAAAUAAAAAAAGGCUAGGGAUAUACUUCAUCGGGGAAGUCCUGGGUUAAAUUCCCCAUAGGAAAGAGAGAGGGAGAGAAAGCGAGGGAGGAGAGAGGGGAGGGGGGGAAGCAAAGAAAAUUUGUCUACAGUAUGAGAGCUAAAGCAAGUAGGCAGAGUGCUUCCUGGUUCACUUUAGCUGGGAACUCGCAGCUCCUCCAGGAAAGCGAAGUGUUUCCCAUUCUGCACAUGCAUGUGCUUAUGUCCAUGAAAGUGUGCAGUGUUGAUUUGCGAGUUGCAAAUAAAUUUUAAUAAGCAGAUAUAUUUGCAAGUAUACUAUUAGCAAAUAAUGAGGUUCAGACUGUAUUUAAAUCCACAGGCAUAGCCAUUGUCUCAUCCUAAGUGAUAACUAAGUGCUUUUUCUUGUGGUGCAGACAAUGAUACUGUUACUUUUAAAUAUUUUUACUUUUUAAUUGGCACAUGAUAAUUGGGUACAGAGUAAGAUAUAAUACAUGUAUAUAAUGUGUAAUGAUCAGAUUAGGGUAAUUGGCAUAUCAAUCACCUCAGACAAAUCAUUUCUUUGUUUUGGAAACAUUCAAAAUCCUCUUUGCUAGCUAUUUUCAAAUAAUCGAUUAACUGUUAACUAACUAUAGUUAUCCUACUAUGCUGUAAAAUAUUAGAAUUUCUUUCUCCUAUCCAACUAUACAUUGGUACAAAUUAACCGAUUUCUCCUUCUCAAGAUACUGAAUUAUUAAGCAAAAGUUUGUAUGAGUACCAUAGUUCUCUGAGUUAAAUAUAUUAGAAAGCAAUGUUGAUUGAACAAAUAUAUUAUUUGUAACCGAUUUAAAAGUAAUGACUGUACCUGUACAUUCUAUAUCUUGGUUCUUAUUUUUCCCCCAUUCCCCUGCCCUCCCUUCAACCCCUCCACCCCUCCCUGUUUACAAAGGAAAAAUUUCCAUUUUUUCCCAUUCUCAUAUUUUUCCAUCCCCCCCCCCACACACACACUUCCUUUCUCCUUCCCCUUUGGACCUUUUCUUAAUGAAUACAAAAUAAAAAAUGGAUGAUUGGGUCAUAGAAAGUUGUACUUCCUAGACUGUGAAAAAAAAUCAGACUUAAAUCUUCUGAAAUUGCAACACUUUUUAUCAGUAGUAAGUGUACUAUAAACUCAAAACCUACAUGUUAUUAAAUAAGAUCUGUGCUUUCCUAAAUUUCAC